GCUUUCCUCUGGACAAAGCUGUUGCUUACUCCAAGCUUCGAAACCCCUUUCUUAUCAAUGAUCUGGCCAUGCAGUAUUACAUCCAAGAUAGGUAUAACUUCCUAUUGACCAGUGAGAUGGGUGGCUUUGGGAUCAUGCGUGUUCAGGGAACCCACUGUGAGAGGGGCAGAGUGAAACCAACAUGCCUAAUUUUUGUACCAUAA
rnacentral:sRNA from 1 species